rnacentral:rRNA from 1 species
UUGCUGCUUUGCUGACGAGUGGCGGACGGGUGAGUAAUGUCUGGGAAACUGCCUGAUGGAGGGGGAUAACUACUGGAAACGGUAGCUAAUACCGCAUAACGUCGCAAGACCAAAGAGGGGGACCUUCGGGCCUCUUGCCAUCGGAUGUGCCCAGAUGGGAUUAGCUAGUAGGUGGGGUAACGGCUCACCUAGGCGACGAUCCCUAGCUGGUCUGAGAGGAUGACCAGCCACACUGGAACUGAGACACGGUCCAGACUCCUACGGGAGGCAGCAGUGGGGAAUAUUGCACAAUGGGCGCAAGCCUGAUGCAGCCAUGCCGCGUGUAUGAAGAAGGCCUUCGGGUUGUAAAGUACUUUCAGCGGGGAGGAAGGCGAUAAGGUUAAUAACCUUGUCGAUUGACGUUACCCGCAGAAGAAGCACCGGCUAACUCCGUGCCAGCAGCCGCGGUAAUACGGAGGGUGCAAGCGUUAAUCGGAAUUACUGGGCGUAAAGCGCACGCA